rnacentral:misc_RNA from 1 species
UCCCCAUAACUCUUGCUUCCUCUCUCAAUCCAACCCCUGGAUACCUUGGCUUUGCUCUCUUUCUUUCUUGGCUUGGCUAUCUAAACGCACAAAUAACAACUUCUACAAACAUAUGCCUAUACUUUUAAAUCAUUUGCUAUAGCUAGGCUCUAGCUGUGCCUUUAAUUACUUGUUGUUGGCAAACCUUAGGAAGAUGAUGGUUGAUAAAGAAGAUUUGGGUUUGAGCUUAAGCUUGAGUUUUCCUCAAAAUGACCAUUCUUUGCAGCUCAAUCUCAUGCCUUCGCUGGUCCCAUCUUCUGCUGAUUCUUUAAAACCCUCAUGGAAUAACACCUUUCCUUCUUCAGAUCCAAACUCUGAUUCGUGCCGCGCUGACACAAGAUCAUUUCUACGAGGAAUCGAUGUGAACAGUCUUCCAUCAACAGUCGAUUUCGAAGAAGAAGCGGGUGUCUCAUCCCCGAACAGCACGAUAUCGAGUGUAAGUGGAAAGCGAGGCGAAAGGGAAGGGAAUGGAGAGGAGCAGGAGACGGAGAGAG